rnacentral:rRNA from 1 species
ACGCACGCUGGCGGCAUGCCUCACACAUGCAAGUCGCACGCGACCUUCGGGUCUAGUGGCGCACGGGUGCGUAACGCGUGGGAACCUGCCCUUAGGUUCGGAAUAACUCCCCGAAAGGGGUGCUAAUACCGGAUAAUGUCUUCGGACCAAAGAUUUAUCGCCUUUGGAUGGGCCCGCGUUGGAUUAGCUAGUUGGUAGGGUAAAAGCCUACCAAGGCGACGAUCCAUAGCUGGUCUGAGAGGAUGAUCAGCCACACUGGGACUGAGACACGGCCCAGACUCCUACGGGAGGCAGCAGUGGGGAAUAUUGGACAAUGGGCGAAAGCCUGAUCCAGCAAUGCCGCGUGAGUGAUGAAGGCCUUAGGGUUGUAAAGCUCUUUUACCCGGGAUAAUAAUGACAGUACCGGGAGAAUAAGCGCCGGCUAACUCCGUG